GGGGUUGUGGCUCAGUGGUAGAGUGCUUGCCUUGCAUGUGUGAGGCACUGGGUUCAAUCCUCAGCACCA
rnacentral:tRNA from 1 species